UCCGACUUGACGUCGGCAGUCUCGUUAGAGUGCCCCACUUAAGGCUGGCAACUAACGACAGAGGUUGCGCUCGUUGCGGGACUUAACCCAACAUCUCACGACACGAGCUGAUGACAGCCAUGCAGCACCGUCUCACUAGCUCCCCGAAGGGCAAAUCGGCAUCUCUGCCAACUUCUAGUGGAUUUAACCCAGGUAAGGUUCUUCGCGUUGCUUCGAAUUAAACCACAUGCUCCACCGCUUGUGCGGGCCCCCGUCAAUUCCUUUGAGUUCCAGUCUUGCGACCGUACUCCCCAGGCGGGGUACUUACUGCGUUAGCGACGGCACCGAGGGGGUCGCUCCCCCCGACGCCUAGUACCCAUCGUUUACGGCGUGGACUAC
rnacentral:misc_RNA from 1 species